rnacentral:lncRNA from 1 species
UAAGGGAACAAUGGGGUGAGUUAAAUGUGAAGGUAAGAGAGGACGACCGAAGCAUGGGAUAAUGAUGAAGGGAGCGGCGCUUAAAUCUGAAAAUCUCGAGAAUGAAAACACACAGGCACAUACACACACACGUCACUUCACUCUCACGAUCGGACAUGUGAUUCUUGUGUGCUGCGACGACUCGUGACUCUUGCCUCUCUUUCUCAUCUCUCCCCGAUCCUCCUCCUACGAUAGAAGGAAACAACAAAAAGAUAAAGCUAAAAAAAAGAAAAUUCGUUAAAAGCUUUAAAGCUUUAAAGUCACUCAAGAAAAUAAUUAUAGGAACCCAAUAACAACACUUCGAAUAGUGUCGUGCUCUCAUUUACUUUAAUUCUUUUAUAUAUACAUAUAAAUUGAUCAUUUGUUUAAACUAUGAUAAACGAUGAAUAAUCCAAAAAGAAAAAUUUGAACACAAACCAUCUCUCUAAUAGUCAAGUUUAUUAAAUGGGAACACCAUGUGAGUACAAUUGGUCUAACUUCUUACUAUCGUCAAAAUAUUGUGUUAUAAGGUCGGCAAUGGAAACUGUUUGGAAUGUAGGGGACAUCUACAAAUAGGGAUUAGUUUUUUAGGCUUUUAGCCUUAGAUGAAGUUGAGAUCAAAUGGUUAAGGAAUUCUUCUUUUUUUUUUUUGUUCUUUUUUUCCUUUUCCUUUGAAAAAUAACAGAAUGUGAGAAAGCAACGGUCACAUGCGCGGGUGAAAAAAAGCAAUUCUCUGGGAAGUGAACCGAACCGUGACAAUAUUUAAGCACUCACAUACUCUUUCUAAGCUCCAUUAUCAUAUCCUCUUC